GGAAAAUGAUAAACGGACUAAACGAGUUGGUGAAGAUAAAGGCUCAACACCCACCUUUCCUUGAAAGUAAUCUUCAAUCACCAUUUGCCUUCAAAACAAUUUUCAUCCCCAGAAAACAUGUUUGAUCCUGCCAAGCUGCCCCAAUCUAUGUCGAAACACAUGGGGAAGAAGUAUGAUUCCAGGGUGCAAAAGACGGCUCAAAAACAGGAGUUGGAACACCAUGGGAGCUGAUGAAACUUGCGUGAUGGAAGUUGAGUCUGGAGUUUCUACUCCUUUAUGGGACCUAAUCCUUCAACGAUGGAAAGAACAUUAAUUACCGAUGUUUAUCGCCGUCAUCGCAAGCUCAAGCCAUCGCUAGAGGCCAAAGGGAGCUUAUGGAAAUGGUUAGCAGAAUGCCCGAGUCUUGUUUCGAACUCACCUUGAAAGAUCUUGUGGAGCACCGGGAUGCGGCUGUUGAAACGAAACAGGAGAGUUGUGCUGUAGGGAGAGGUGCCAUCAAUGAACAUACAUACAGCAAAGAUAAGGGGAAGAAGAAGAAUCAGAAUCAGAAACCGCAAAUCAAUAGAAGUGGGAGCAUAGAUAAUGGAGGGUUUUCUGAAAAUGGUGUUUCCAUUUUCCUCGGGGUCAAAGUCGAAGAACAAGAGGAAUGGUUCAAAUGGUGAAUUACAAUUCUAGAGUUUCACCGAAGCCAAUAGUAUCAGAUGAAGCUAGUAAGAGAAUAUAUAAGAGUCGUGGAAGAAUAGAUCGGGGUCGAGCGAGAGUGACGGCUUUGGAUCCAAUGUAACCAGUGGAAGCUCCGAAAGCAGCCGUAGCAGCAGCAGUACGGGCGGCAGGCGUAAGGGGAACUGUUGCUGGUCUUUCAUCUUCAAUAGGAAAAUCAAAGCAUCGCGGUAAAACACCAGCCUUGGGGCAUGUUUGAAAAUGGAGUUCAAUAUGUAAAUUUUUCCAGUAAUGCGAAAUGUUUACGUAAAAUGGUACAUGCUGCAAAGUCAGUGUAUGUUCAGAUUCAGAGAUUGUAAUUACAGAGUUCCCUGUUUCUUUUUUCCCAUUAGAGUGAAGAAGAAUUAUGAUUUUGCCUUCCAUUAGUUUGAA